CCUACGGGUGGCAGCAGUGAGGAAUAUUGGUCAAUGGACGUAAGUCUGAACCAGCCAAGUAGCGUGCAGGACGACGGCCCUAUGGGUUGUAAACUGCUUUUGCAGGGGAAGAAUAAGGAGUACGUGUACUUUGAUGACGGUACUCUGCGAAUAAGCAUCGGCUAACUCCGUGCCAGCAGCCGCGGUAAUACGGAGGAUGCGAGCGUUAUCCGGAAUCAUUGGGUUUAAAGGGUCCGUAGGCGGGCUAAUAAGUCAGAGGUGAAAGCGCUCAGCUCAACUGAGCAACUGCCUUUGAAACUGUUAGUCUUGAAUGGUUGUGAAGUAGUUGGAAUGUGUAGUGUAGCGGUGAAAUGCUUAGAUAUUACACAGAACACCGAUAGCGAAGGCAUAUUACUAACAAUUAAUUGACGCUGAUGGACGAAAGCGUGGGGAGCGAACAG
rnacentral:rRNA from 1 species